rnacentral:lncRNA from 1 species
AUACACGUAUGCAUGUAUACUUUUAUAAGAAGUGAAAAAUCAACAGAAACAGCUUGAUCAGACAGAUGUAUCGGAGCGGCCAGCCAGCCAAGGGCAGCCAGCCAGCUGGAGUCACCUUUCCGAGUCCUGAGUCCCAAGUCCCUCUGAGGUCUUCCUCCCUUCCUCAGUUGCAGUGUCCUUCCUCGAUCCUCAGCUGGAUUUCUGGGAGUGAUUCCAUCAGCCUCUCAGCCAAGGGCUCUGAGAGGUCCAGUAAGGAGACAGUUUAAGAAAGAGGCUCUGCUACCUCACAGCCUGAAACUACUCAGUCUAGUCUUCAAUAUACACAAUGCUUUGGAGGACUCAUUCUUCAUUCACUCGCCUUGGAUGUAAGGAGUGGUGACGAAAACGCCUGGGCAUAAUGAAGCAUGGAGGUCUGAGGUGCACUGGAAGCACAUCUGUGUAUUCACAGCACACAGCAAACCUUCUAACUACCUUCUAACUAGUCUAACAGCAAAGAGUCAACAACAGAGUACAACCGGUACACAUUAACCAGCAGCUGAAGGAAGGAUGAUAAUUCUAUGAUCACCUGGGCUGGCUUUUUGAGAGCCCAUAAGAGUCUUUGUGCUCACAGAUGCAGUAGAGGAACCCAGACCGUUAAGUUGUUGUUAAGGGUUGUUCCAGCAAGGGAAAGAAUGCAAAACCCAUUUUCUACCCAGACGACUGGAGUGCAUGUGCUUUCUCGCCUGAUGACCUCCGUCUAUCGGUGGGGACUGUUAGCACUUGUGGACACCCUCAUAAACUUGUAUUCUCAGUCAGUCUAGAGAACCUCAGUACUUUAUAAAGAGCUUCAACGUAGUUGCACCUGAUCAGUACUUAGUUUGUUCCCCAGAGAUCUAAUUAUGCUUUGUUAUCGUGGGAUUGAAUUAAUCAUCACCAGAUUGUGCUAUGCUUAAAUAAGACUAAAAUAAACCUCUCGGGGUCAGACUCCCAAUAUCUGAACCCAUGUGUGCUACUGAGCCAUCUUGCACCAAACUGCCUUGCCUCCGGAGGCUUUUUCCUCUUUUCUGCCCUCUGCUGGUGGGAUUAGUCCUCAAGGGUUAAAGAAUCUAGUGCUGUUUGGCAGCCAGGAAUUACUCAUAUCUCACAAUUGAGACGAUUAAAGUACAACCAUGUAUGGCUGAUACUUCUUCUAAUAUGAUUAUUGCUCCUGCUCACAAGGGUAAACCACCUCAGAUGUCUUUAAUAAUUUGUUAAACAUCUCCUUUCUAGGACUCUCACUACAACUAAACUUUUGUUGGCUGGGCAGUGGUGGCACAGGCCUUUAAUCCCAGCACUCUGGAGGGAGAGUUUGAGGCCAGCCUAGGUCAAGUCAAGGACAGCCAGGGCUACACAGAGAAAUCUUGUCAAAAAAAAAAAAAAAAAAAAAAAAAAAAGCAAGACAAAAACAAACAAAAAAUAAAAAUAAAAAUUUGAGAUUGGUCUUACUUAUUAACAACAACAACACUUUAAGGAAUUUUGCAAUUUAUGAGAUAUUAAUUAUGUUCCUGGAGCCCCCUGUAACCCACAGGAGGAAGCUACUGUGGAAUGAUGACAUCAAAUAUGUAAGCAAUAAAUUUUUAAAAGGGGGUAUAUACACCCACAUAGCAAUACACAUAGUAUACACACAGAUUAUUUUUUAAAUUAGGAAGACCAAUUUGCUCCAACAACUUUUGUUUGUGAAAAGACAUAAAAAAUUUUAAGGGACCACUGCAUACAUUAGCAAGAUUUUGCUGAAAGGACCCAGAUAGAGCUGUCUCUUGUGAGACUAUGCCGGGGCCUAGCAAACACAUAAGUGGAUGCUCACAGUCAGCUAUUGGAUAGAUCACAGGGCCCCCAAUGUAUUGGAUAGAUCACAGGGCCCCCAAUGGAGGAGCUAGAGAAAGUACCCAAGGAGCUAAAUAAAAGGAUCUGCAACCCUAUAGGUGGAACAACAUUAUGAACUAACAAGUACCCUGGAGCUCUUGUCUCUAGCUGCAUAUGUAUCAAAAGAUGACCUAGUAGGCCAUCAGUGGAAAGAGAGGUCCAUUGGACUUGCAAACGUUAUAUGCCCCAGUACAGGGCCAAAAAGUGGGAGUGGGUGGGUAGGGGAGUGUGGGGGAGGGUAUGGGGGACUUUUGGGAUAGCAUUGGAAAUGUAAAUGAGGAAAAUACCUAAUAAAAAAUAUUUAAAAAUA